AAUGGGUCAGCGACUUAUAUUCUGUAGCAAGGUUAACCGUAUAGGGGAGCCGCAGGGAAACCGAGUCUUAAUUGGGCGUUAAGUUGCAGGGUAUAGACCCGAAACCCGGUGAUCUAGCCAUGGGCAGGUUGAAGGUUGGGUAACACUAACUGGAGGACCGAACCGACUAAUGUUGAAAAAUUAGCGGAUGACCUGUGGCUGGGGGUGAAAGGCCAAUCAAACCGGGAGAUAGCUGGUUCUCCCCGAAAGCUAUUUAGGUAGCGCCUCGUGAAUUCAUCUCCGGGGGUAGAGCACUGUUUCGGCUAGGGGGCCAUCCCGGCUUACCAACCCGAUGCAAACUGCGAAUACCGGAGAAUGUUAUCACGGGAGACACACGGCGGGUGCUAACGUCCGUCGUGAAGAGGGAAACAACCCAGACCGCCAGCUAAGGUCCCAAAGUCAUGGUUAAGUGGGAAACGAUGUGGGAAGGCCCAGACAGCCAGGAUGUUGGCUUAGAAGCAGCCAUCAUUUAAAGAAAGCGUAAUAGCUCACUGGUCGAGUCGGCCUGCGCGGAAGAUGUAACGGGGCUAAACCAUGCACCGAAGCUGCGGCAGCGACGCUUAUGCGUUGCUGGGUAGGGGAGCGUUCUGUAAGCCUGCGAAGGUGGCCUGUGAGGGUUGCUGGAGGUAUCAGAAGUGCGAAUGCUGACAUAAGUAACGAUAAAGCGGGUGAAAAGCCCGCUCGCCGGAAGACCAAGGGUUCCUGUCCAACGUUAAUCGGGGCAGGGUGAGUCGACCCCUAAGGCGAGGCCGAAAGGCGUAGUCGAUGGGAAACGGGUUAAUAUUCCCGUACUUGGUGUUACUGCGAAGGGGGGACGGAGAAGGCUAUGUUGGCCGGGCGACGGUUGUCCCGGUUUAAGCGUGUAGGUGUGUGUUCCAGGUAAAUCCGGUUCACUUUAACACUGAGGCGUGACGACGAGGCACUACGGUGCUGAAGCAACAAAUGCCCUGCUUCCAGGAAAAGCCUCUAAGCAUCAGGUAACAUCAAAUCGUACCCCAAACCGACACAGGUGGUCAGGUAGAGAAUACCAAGGCGCUUGAGAGAACUCGGGUGAAGGAACUAGGCAAAAUGGUGCCGUAACUUCGGGAGAAGGCACGCUGACACGUAGGUGAAGUGAUUUACUCAUGGAGCUGAAGUCAGUCGAAGAUACCAGCUGGCUGCAACUGUUUAUUAAAAACACAGCACUGUGCAAACACGAAAGUGGACGUAUACGGUGUGACGCCUGCCCGGUGCCGGAAGGUUAAUUGAUGGGGUCAGCGCAAGCGAAGCUCCUGAUCGAAGCCCCGGUAAACGGCGGCCGUAACUAUAACGGUCCUAAGGUAGCGAAAUUCCUUGUCGGGUAAGUUCCGACCUGCACGAAUGGCGUAAUGAUGGCCAGGCUGUCUCCACCCGAGACUCAGUGAAAUUGAACUCGCUGUGAAGAUGCAGUGUACCCGCGGCAAGACGGAAAGACCCCGUGAACCUUUACUAUAGCUUGACACUGAACACUGGUCCUUGAUGUGUAGGAUAGGUGGGAGGCUUUGAAGUGUGGACGCCAGUCUGCAUGGAGCCAUCCUUGAAAUACCACCCUUUAAUGGCUGGUGUUCUAACGU
rnacentral:rRNA from 1 species